AUACGUAGGGGGCGAGCGUUGUCCGGAAUGAUUGGGCGUAAAGGGCGCGUAGGCGGCCCGGUAAGUCUGGAGUGAAAGUCCUGUUUUUAAGAUGGGAAUUGCUUUGGAUACUGUCGGGCUUGAGUGCAGGAGAGGUAAGUGGAAUUCCCAGUGUAGCGGUGAAAUGCGUAGAGAUUGGGAGGAACACCAGUGGCGAAGGCGGCUUACUGGACUGUAACUGACGCUGAGGCGCGAAAGCGUGGGGAGCGAACAGGAUUAGAUACCCUGGUAGUCCACGCUGUAAACGAUGGAUGCUAGGUGUGGGGGGUAUCGACCCCCUCCGUGCCGGAGUUAUCGCAAUAAGCAUCCCGCCUGGGGAGUACGGCCGCAAGGUUGAAACUCAAAGGAAUUGACGGGG
rnacentral:rRNA from 1 species